rnacentral:piRNA from 1 species
GGCUGGUGUUGCUGAAGGCUGGGAAGAAG